rnacentral:rRNA from 1 species
CAGUAGCCGCGGUAAAACGAAGGGUGCAAGUGUUAAUCGGAAUUACUGGGCGUAAAGCGUGCGUAGGCGGUGAGUUAAGUCUGCUGUGAAAUCCCCGGGCUCAACCUGGGAAUGGCAGUGGAUACUGGCUCGCUAGAGUGUGUCAGAGGAUGGUGGAAUUCCCGGUGUAGCGGUGAAAUGCGUAGAGAUCGGGAGGAACAUCAGUGGCGAAGGCGGCCAUCUGGGACAACACUGACGCUGAGGCACGAAAGCGUGGGGAGCAAACAGGAUUAGAUACCCCCGUAGUCCCUGUCUCUUAUAC